AUGUACCACUCGUACACUGCGGUUCCUCCGCGCCGCCCGCACCUACCCGGCGGCUGCUCGCGACGUUCUGUCAGCC
rnacentral:sRNA from 1 species